rnacentral:rRNA from 1 species
AUUGAACGCUGGCGGCAUGCCUUACACAUGCAAGUCGAACGGCAGCACGGGUGCUUGCACCUGGUGGCGAGUGGCGAACGGGUGAGCAAUACAUCGGAACGUACCUUAUCGUGGGGGAUAACGCAGCGAAAGCUGUGCUAAUACCGCAUACGCCCUGAGGGGGAAAGCGGGGGAUCGAAAGACCACGCGCGAUUAGAGCGGCCGAUGCCUGAUUAGCUUGUUGGUGGGGUAAAAGCCCACCAAGGCGACGAUCAGUAGCUGGUCUGAGAGGACGAUCAGCCACACUGGGACUGAGACACGGCCCAGACUUCUACGGGAGGCAGCAGUGGGGAAUUUUGGACAAUGGGGGCAACCCUGAUCCAGCAAUGCCGCGUGAGUGAAGAAGGCCUUCGGGUUGUAAAGCUCUUUUGUCAGGGAAGAAACACCGGCUCUAACACAGUCCGGGAAUGACGGUACCUGAAGAAUAAGCACCGGCUAACUACGUGCCAGCCGCCGCAGUAA